rnacentral:lncRNA from 1 species
CAGCAAACUCUAAAAAUUUGCAAACCAACAUUUAAGAUAAAACCAGUAGCAAGCAAUAUCACCCAGAUAACAACAAGCAAUGGAAGAAUCUCCAAUAUGUAAAGAGAUGAAAAACACCAUAACAUUAUAAGGUGAACGACCAAACAUAUGACAGCAUAGCACAGAGCAUACGAUUACUAACCCAUUCGUUGUUCUGGUAACACAGGCAAAUAGCAAAUAGUUCAACAGAUAUGCGUCGACAUAAAGGUUCUAAGCACGAGCUUCAAGGAGUCUCCAUACAAAGGUAGCAAAAUCUGAUGGCUCAGACAAAUACUAUCAAGGUGUGCAUAGGGCAGUUUAACGGUAGCGGCGGAGGGAGACGGUCUGGUUGCGCUUCCAGGUGGCUCUCCUUGAGGGCCUGUUCUUGUGGUGGCGGUGGCCCUUGCCACGCAGACCACGGAACUUCUUUCCGGCCGACGUUAGGCCACGAAGCUCACGG